GUUUGACUUGCGUAAACCAACAUUUAUCACAUUGAAUAACACCAAAAGUUACGCAUUUAACUGUGCAGAAGUGGGUUUCACGGAACGGCAUGGCAUGGCACCCCUCCCACUGACUGACACACCCCCUGCUGUACUACCAACCAACACAGCUGCCUUAAUUGGAGGAGGAUUUCGUCUUUUUUGCGUCACAUACCUCACUUGCAUUUUCGUUUAAACAGCGAUUUUUAAAUCAUUUUUUUAAACGAAUACAGAUGCAAUUACCAACCUGGUGCAGAAUCCUUGUAAACAGGCGGUAAAAGUGUCAAUUCUUGGUUAUUUUCCCAGCUCCAAGGCUGUUGCUGCUGCUGUCCCCUUAGCUGCGUGUCCCUCCCUCGUUAGUGGCUCGGUGUGUUUUGUCUCUGGAGCUCUGCCCGCUACUUUGUGUCCCGAGUAUCAAUGGAAAGGUUUCUACAGCGACUCAACUUUAAAUAGCUAAUCCCCGGAGCAUGUUUCUUUCCAGUUUUGGAACUGGUUUACCCACGUCUUUGCUGUCACGGCAGUCUCCGCAGAUGCAUCCCAAGCAGCCAUUGACCACCUGGAUGCCGCAGAGCACCAGCUGCAGGAGACCCAUGGACAGCAGAAUGGAGAACAGGACGACGUGCCACAUAACUGCGUUUUUGGGGAACUCGCAUAUUGUCCACAUGGUCUGGUUCACAAGGUACCCGCCGUCACCCCUGAAAACAAAGGUAAAGGCAUUAUCGUUAUGCUGGACAUGACUACAUUACUCAUGAAUGUAUGUGUGACCAAGCUGAGUUUGAAUACGAAUGUCUCAUCAUGCAUUAUGUGGACUCAAAUGUGGCUCCCUCACUGUGCAACAAUGAUGCCCUUUAAACCACUUUCAACAUAGACAGCAGUUGUGUAAUGAUUAAUAGUCAUAUCUAUUAGCCUAAUGCUUCUUUAUUGGGUGAUUUAGAAGAGGUACUAAGUAGAUUAUUGCAUAGUAGAUAUGUUUGAGUGACUAACAUCUGAUUAAAACACCACACUGUAUUGCUUCUGAUCACAUCAAAAUAUUGCUAAUUUUCUUAUAUGAAGUCUGAAUUCCCAGAAUUCUUUUCCAGCAAGUGAUACAAACAGAAAGGGUUGGUUUAGUCUGCCACCUACUGGACUUUAAGAAUAUUACAUGUUUAGGGUUAGGUGUUUUUUUUAAGAGGAACUGAAAGUGUUCCUCUUGUCAAAAAAAGUGUGGGGACCAAUUUAUAGCCUCAGACUUUUGGACGCCACUGUAAAGCUAAGAAAACAGAAGAGUAAAUGUACAACAAUAGGAACGUAACAAUAAAUAGCUGCAGAUAAGAGUGUUUCUGCAGGGAGAGAAAAAAGAGAAUAUUUGAAACUAUGAUGAUGUUGAAAUACUCACGCAUUUUCAAAAGGGUACGACCAUUUGUCACCCUCCGUCUGACACUUGGGUCCGAUUGCCAGACCUGCAGAUGCCACACUGGUGCAGUAGAUGGCUCCCACCAGGCCAAAGGCAGAGGAGAACACAGAGCCCAACAUCUAGAGGAAAAACAUCAUUAUUUUUGCUGUCUCGUCCUGCGCAGGUGUAUAAUGGACAUGACUGGACAUCUGUAAGAUGUAGAAAUCAGGUCAUUUCUCUGCUUUUUUUUUGUCCCUUAAUCAGUUUAAGCCGUUUUCGUUGUCUGUCCGUCCUAGGACAGGGAUCUCCCCUGUGGCUCUUCCUGAGGCUUCUCAUAUUUUGUGGCACUUUUCCUCCCUUGAUGUCAGACCGAAACUACACUCAUAUGCAUCAUUCUAGUUCAAUUAGAUAAAAUGCAUAAUAAUUAGUUAAUAAUCGCUUGCUAAAACAGUAUACAUUUUAAAGGGAUGUCUAUAGUUUGUAUAAAUGAUCAAUCUUGUCCCUUACAACAGAAAUUUCACAACCAAUAGACUGUAUAUUGUUAGUAUACAGUCAGUAAAUAUUGUCGUGUAUCAUUAAUGGUCUUAAUCCCUAGUUUCACCUCUUCUUCAAUAGAAAAUGAUGUCAGUUUGGUAAAUUGAGUUCUCCUCUAGAGGAAAAUAGAUGAUACAAAUAAUAUAUAUGUAUAUACUGUAUAUAUAAGUGGACAGUGUGACUGCAACUUAUAGCAGUUAUUAUCCAAUGGGAACCUGGUUGCAGGUUACAUCUAUGAAUUUCCAUUUGCAAAAUGUCCAAAUUGCGAAUCUUGAGGCUUCGUAACAGGAGUUCUGAUUCCUGUGGGUUUUGCUUGAAUUCAGUUUAAAUUUGUGCUCAGAUUGUAUUUUUAAAACACAAGAUAGAUCAUGUUUUUGUUCAUCUAAAGAUCAUGUUUUUGCUUCAUCAAAGCUUUACAAACUACUUCCUUAGUAAGGAUGAUAUUACUAUGUUGACACAUUCUUCAAACUGCACAAUUUAUGAGUUUGGUUAUUU